UACAGAGGUCUCAAGCGUUGUUCGGAUUCAUUGGGCGUAAAGGGUGCGUAGGCGGCGCGGUAAGUCGGGUGUGAAAUCUUGGAGCUUAACUCCGAAACUGCAUUCGAUACUGCCGUGCUUGAGGACUGGAGAGGAGACUGGAAUUUACGGUGUAGCUGGUGAAAUGCGUAGAUAUCGUAAGGAAGACCAGUGGCGAAGGCGGGUCUCGUGGACAGUUCCUGACACUGAGGCACGAAGGCCAGGGGAGCAAACGGGAUUAGAGUACCC
rnacentral:rRNA from 1 species